rnacentral:lncRNA from 10 species
UUGACUUUGAUGAUCUCUAUAUGCAACAUCAAUUGACAUAAAUUAAAGUACAUUCAGGGCAAGAGAGUUUCUUUAAAUAUUACUUUGUUAUUCAAAAUAAUCACAAAAGCACUCAUCGUAGGAAAACUUGUGAGGACUCAAAUAUAGAGAAAUACCUUUUCUUUCUAAGGCAUAAUUCUGUAAAGAAAUUCACCUUAAUUUGAAUAUACAUGUGAAAAUAUCCUUGUUCAAUAAUAGUCUAUAUUCACUCUGUUUUCUUCCCUCAUAGACCAGCCGGUUCACUAUUAUUCUCCAAAUGAUGUGUGCCUCUCUAGAUUCCAGGCUAUCUGCAUAUCUAAUUUUUCCCAUAAAUUACUGUUUUGAAUUGCACUGAAUUCAAUUUAAGGGGAUGUCAUUUAUAAAAAGUGCAAAUAUAUACUGCACGAGGGAUCUUAAAAAUCAUACACAUGGUUUGAUCCAUAAGCUCAUAUGAGCGUGCAAUGUCAACUUUUUUCAUGUUUUUUUAAGUCCACUUAAAUUCUAUUUUAAGCCACCAUCUGUCUGUGCUGUUAGGGCAGUUAGCCUUAAAUCAUUUUAAGAUGCUCCCUUCUAAGUACUGUGAUAGUGAUAGAGAUGUCACCAGUCAAGUGUCCUAGGAAGCCGACUCCGAGUUGGAGAUUUGCAUGCAAGGAGGUUGAAAUGAUACUCCCAACACCUGUGGAAGAGUUAAAGCAAUAGGAUUGGGUGGAGCAGGAAGUUGGCUGGAAUGCAAUCACUAUCAUGGCCGCAGUCCACUCUACAGGGAUCUUGGUGAGUUUACCUAAUGACCUCGAAUUGGAGCAAGCAAAAAAGGCCAUUAUAUUUCUGUACCAAGCAGUUCUCGGAUGUGGGAUGCCUUGAGAAGGGACAUGGACUUGGAUGAAGGAACUUUAGUGUGCUGUAGAGCAACACUCUGGAGACCUUCUUUUGAGGCAUUUCACCACCAGAAUCUCCAAGGUCAUAGAGGGAUUUUACAUUUGUGUCUUCAAUUGGCCCUCUUCAGCCCUAGGAUAAAUAGUGAUUAAUCUAAGCCAAUGGUUUUCAGCUCUGUCUGACCCAAUGCCUCUACUUCACAAGAAACUCUUCAAAGACCCCUUCGCUAUUCUAAACUAUUAGUGAGAACACAAUGUAUGCAUUCAAGUUGUUGAAAAUAUUAAUGUUAUGCUGAAGCUAACAAAGGAGAAAUAAUUUACUGUCAAUAUAUAAUCCAAAAUGUAUAUAAUUGUGCCAGAACAUUUACAUAUCAAAUACAAUAGAACAUAAUGAAAUUUUCAUAUCUUCACCAAUACUUUGAUACAUUGUAAAUAAAAAGCUACAGAUAUAGUUUCAUUGAAUAACCAAAUGCCAAAACUGCCAUUUCUAUUGUUGACAUGAUUGAUCUGCAUUGGUAAAUGUAAUAGAUACUUUCUGUUUGGCCCUUGUCCCCUGUUAUACUCCCCUAUUUACUGGCUUUUGUCCAAGUGGAAUGGUCCAUAUUGAAUAUCUCAAUCGGUUCCCUUGCUCAUUGCCUUCUAUGCAUGUUCAUGAGAUUAAAGGGAAGGAGGUAAUGGGAUUGGGGGUUAUUGCCUAAACUCCCUCUCUGCUAGGUCUCCUUGACCAAUCUUUUUCAUAAGAAAAUUAGUGUUUCCUUGUGUGAUCAGGGCAGUUUACUCUCAAGAACUCUGCCUGCUGCUACUAACCCAGAGUUAUUGUGGGGUGUGAUUUCUGUGAUUCCUUCACCCUUCUCCCCUGACAUUUUCGUAAGUAGUCUCUUUGGAAAUAAACCCAUGUUAAAUUAUCUUAGUUUGUGUGUGUUCUAUUUUUCCUAUUGAGACUCUGAAAUGAGUAUCUAAAUGAAAAAAUCUACCGUCUU